UCGAGAGGCUUCGGCAAUGGGGGAAACCCUGACCGAGCGACGCCGCGUGCGGGAUGAAGGUCCUCGGAUUGUAAACCGCUGUCAGGAGGGAAGAAUCCUUCCGGAUUAAUACCCUGGAAGUUGACGGUACCUCCAAAGGAAGCUCCGGCUAACUCCGUGCCAGCAGCCGCGGUAAUACGGAGGGAGCGAACGUUGUUCGGAUUUACUGGGCGUAAAGGGCGUGUAGGCGGUUUUGCAAGUCAGAGGUGAAAUGUCUCGGCUCAACCGAGGACCUGCCUUUGAAACUGCAGAACUUGAGGCCGUGAGAGGAGACUGGAAUUCCUAGUGUAGCGGUGAAAUGCAUAGAUAUUAGGAAGAACAUCAGUGGCGAAGGCGAGUCUCUGGCACGGUUCUGACGCUGAGGCGCGAAAGCUAGGGGAGCGAACGGGAUUAGAUACCCCCGUAGUCC
rnacentral:rRNA from 1 species